UUGACCUCGGAUCAGGUAGGAAUACCCGCUGAACUUAAGCAUAUCAAUAAGCGGAGGAAAAGAAACCAACAGGGAUUGCCCCAGUAACGGCGAGUGAAGCGGCAACAGCUCAAAUUUGAAAUCUGGCCCCAGGCCCGAGUUGUAAUUUGCAGAGGAUGCUUUUGGCGCGGUGCCUUCCGAGUUCCCUGGAACGGGACGCCAUAGAGGGUGAGAGCCCCGUACGGUUGGACACCAAGUCUUUGUAAAGCUCCUUCGACGAGUCGAGUUGUUUGUGGGGAAUGC
rnacentral:rRNA from 1 species